GAUGAAGAACGCAGCGAAAUGCGAUACUUGGUGUGAAUUGCAGAAUCCCGUGAACCAUCGAGUCUUUGAACGCAAGUUGCGCCCGAAGCCAUUAGGCCGAGGGCACGCCUGCCUGGGCGUCACACGUCGUUGCCCCCCCAUCUACUCCUUCGGGAUUGCGGGGGGCGGAUGAUGGCCUCCCGUGCGCCUCGUCGCGCGGUUGGCCUAAAUGCCAAGUCCUCGGCGACGCACGCCACGACAAUCGGUGGUUGCGAAGCCUCGGUUGCCUGUCGUGUGCGGUCGUCGCGCAUCGAGGGCUCGAAAAAAUUGCCGGGCUUCGGCUCGACUUUCAACGCGACCCCAGGUCAGGCGGGGUUACCCGCUGAAUUUAAGCAUAUCAAUAAGCGGAGGA
rnacentral:misc_RNA from 1 species